CUUGUUACAGAUAAUCAGUUCUUCACUCCUCUUUAAAGCAUCACUGAACAGGACUUCUAGUGUGACUUGUUACAGAUAAUCGGUUCUUCACUGCUCUUUAAAGCAUCACUGAACAGGUCUUCUAGUGUGACUUGUUACAGAUAAUCGGUUCUUCACUCCUCUUUAAAGCAUCACUGAACAGGACUUCUAGUGUGACUUGUUAAAAUAAUCGGUUAUGCAUUCCUCUUUAAAGUAUCACUGAACAGGACUUCUAGUGUGACUUGUUACAGAUAAUUGGUUCUUCACUCCUGUUUAAAGCAUCACUGAACAGGACUUCUAGUGUGACUUGUUACAGAUAAUCGGUUCUUCACUCCUCUUUAAAGCAUCACUGAACAGGACUUCUAGUGUGACUUGUUAUAUAUGGUUCUUUACACACCUUUAAUGUUCUGAACAUCUUCCUGUGUUUAUAAACUAAUUGGAUUAUACUUGUUGUAUUGGGUGAUAAUCAGUUUUCAAUAAAAGUGAAUAAAGUUAAAGAAAAAAUCA